AACGAACGCUGGCGGCAGGCUUAACACAUGCAAGUCGAACGCCCCGCAAGGGGAGUGGCAGACGGGUGAGUAACGCGUGGGAACGCACCCUUUACUACGGAAUAACUCAGGGAAACUUGUGCUAAUACCGUAUGUGCCCUUCGGGGGAAAGAUUUAUCGGUAAAGGAUCGGCCCGCGUUGGAUUAGCUAGUUGGUGGGGUAAAGGCCUACCAAGGCGACGAUCCAUAGCUGGUCUGAGAGGAUGAUCAGCCACAUUGGGACUGAGACACGGCCCAAACUCCUACGGGAGGCAGCAGUGAGGAAUAUUGGACAAUGGGCGCAAGCCUGAUCCAGCCAUGCCGCGUGAGUGAUGAAGGCCCUAGGGUUGUAAAGCUCUUUCACCGGUGAAGAUAAUGACGGUAACCGGAGAAGAAGCCCCGGCUAACUUCGUGCCAGCCGCCGCCGUAAAAC
rnacentral:rRNA from 1 species